rnacentral:rRNA from 1 species
GAUGAACGCUAGCGGCAGGCUUUAUACAUGCAAGUCGAGGGGCAGCAGCACACUUCGGUGUGGCUGGCGACCGGCGAACGGGUGCGUAACACGUAUGCAAUCUACCUUGUACUGGGGAAUAGCUUUCAGAAAUGAGAAUUAAUACCCCAUACGCUCAAGGGUUCACAUGAACCCUUGAGGAAAGCUUUGGCGGUAUAAGAUGAGCAUGCGGCUCAUUAGCUUGUUGGUGAGGUAAAGGCUCACCAAGGCUACGAUGAGUAGGGGUUCUGAGAGGAAGACCCCCCACACUGGCACUGAGAUACGGACCAGACUCCUACGGGAGGCAGCAGUAGGGAAUAUUGGUCAAUGGGCGAAAGCCUGAACCAGCCAUGCCGCGUGCAGGAUGAAGGUCCUCUGGAUCGUAAACUGCUUUUUUACAGGAACAAUAAGCCUUUGCGAAGGCCCAUGAGCGUACUGUACGAAUAAGCACCGGCUAACUCCG